GCAAAUUCAAUUCUCGUUGUCGAUGCUGUGCUGCGUCGCGAGAGCCUUGUUGCCUUGCGAAAAGAGCGCCAUCGCUCGGUGAUGGCGCGCGCGCGCAAGUGAACGGCCGCGAUUCGAGGUUAGAACGUUGUAAGAUCGUUCUCGGAACAAUCUCACGUUUUCCAUUGGGCAACUUAGAAAAUGUUUGCACACGCGCUGCGUUUAGUAACAAUAGUCUAUUUUAACUUGCGAUCUACCACGUGAUCCUUUCUUACAAUUAAUUCGGCCCGAGCUCAAUUUAUAAUUAAUGACGAUCCCAGAAUAAGGCGCAGUCAAGUACGUUCCCGAACUUUUAAUUGGAAAUGGAUCAUGGCAAAACAAUUCCGUUGUUCGCGAAUUUGAAACAAGCGUAUCCAUAAUUUCGCGAAAUGGUAAAUGCGGGAUUAUGAUAAAUAGCGUUGUCCAAUUGUCCAAUAAUGCGAACAUGGAAGGACGAGGUCACCUGACACCCGAUGAAACGAAACACGUAGCCUAAUUAAAUUUAGUUCGAAUCAGAUGUCAUCGUAUCGGGUCGUAAGGUAGCUGCAUUGGCGUAACCAGCCGAUGAUCGAUCGGCUGGAAAUCUCCGCAACGUUAUCGGCAGGAUUAACCCUUGAGAUACUCUGUGUCUCGCGGGCCCUUCAGUCACUUGAAAUUAUUGGCGAGCGCGGUACAGCUGGAUUUCUAGCUGAUGUACGUGCUUUGCGUUCGAGACUUAAUGCAACGCUUGGAGCGAUGAAUAACGACCUUGAAAUCCUGGGAACAGCGUCCUUGAAAUCAGAACCAGUGAUUCCGAUGACGACUCUGGUGGAGGACAAUUCCAACAGCGUCCACAGUCCUCGUUCAAUACACGAUCCUCCAGCAUAGCCCUGAACCGUUCAGCUGACAAAUCGUCUAGAAAACAGGCAAACCAUCCAAAACAAUGACACACACUCGUCGCAGUGAGCGAUGCUGCCUUCAGCAUCGCAGGAACAUCUCGGUAGACGUCUCAUCAAAAGAGCAACGAUGAUCGCAGAGCCUCGAACU